rnacentral:rRNA from 1 species
AGGAUGAACGCUGGCGGCGUGCUUAACACAUGCAAGUCGAACGAUGAUCCCAGCUUGCUGGGGGAUUAGUGGCGAACGGGUGAGCAACACGUGAGUAACCUGCCCUUAACUCUGGGAUAAGCCUGGGAAACUGGGUCUAAUACCGGAUAUGACUCCUCAUCGCAUGGUGGGGGUGGAAAGCUUUAUUGUGGUUUUGGAUGGACUCGCGGCCUAUCAGCUUGUUGGUGAGGUAAUGGCUCACCAAGGCGACGACGGGUAGCCGGCCUGAGAGGGUGACCGGCCGCACUGGGACUGAGACACUGCCCAGACUCCUACGGGGGCUGCAGUAACGAAUCUUCCGCAAUGCCCGCAAGGGUGACGGAGCGACGCCGCGUGGAGGACGAAGUCCUUCGGGAUGUAAACUCCUGUCAGGGGCUACCAAGUUCUGACGGGCCCAGGAGGAAGGCACGGCUAACUCUGUGCCAGCAGCCGC